GACGAACGCUGGCGGCGUGCUUAACACAUGCAAGUCGAACGGAAAGGUCUCUUCGGAGAUACUCGAGUGGCGAACGGGUGAGUAACACGUGGGUGAUCUGCCCUGCACUUCGGGAUAAGCUUGGGAAACUGGGUCUAAUACCGGAUAUACCCUGCUGGUCGCAUGGCCUGGUGGGGGAAAGCUUUUGCGGUGUGGGAUGGGCCCGCGGCCUAUCAGCUUGUUGGUGGGGUGAUGGCCUACCAAGGCGACGACGGGUAGCCGGCCUGAGAGGGUGUCCGGCCACACUGGGACUGAGAUACGGCCCAGACUCCUACGGGAGGCAGCAGUGGGGAAUAUUGCACAAUGGGCGCAAGCCUGAUGCAGCGACGCCGCGUGGGGGAUGACGGCCUUCGGGUUGUAAACCUCUUUCACCAUCGGCGAAGCCUCAUGCUUUUGUGUGGGGUGACGGUAGGUGGAGAAGAAGCACCGGCCAACUACGUGCCAGCCGCCGCAGUAACAC
rnacentral:rRNA from 1 species